GGGCUAAUCUGUAGCUCAGUAAUAGGACAUCUGCUUUGUAUGCAGAAGGACCCAGGUUCAAUCCCCAGCAUCUCCA